rnacentral:snRNA from 1 species
GGAUGUGAGGGCGAUCUGGCUGCGACAUCUGUCACCCCAUUGAUCGCCAGGGUUGGUUCGGCUGAUCUGGCUGGCUAGGCAGGUGUCCCCUUCCUCCCUCACCGCUCCAUGUGCGUCCCUCCUGAAGCUGCGUGCUCGGUCAAAGAGGACGACCUUCCCCGAAUAGAGGAGGACCGGUCUUCGGUCAAGGGUAUACGAGUAGCUGCGCUCCCCUGCUAGAACCUCCAAACAAGCUCUCAAGAAAAGAUUAGUGAUUACUUGGGCCUGGCAGUAAGAACGGGGAUUAACUAAAUGGGCAAGAGGAAUAUU